CAAUCAGUCUUGUUCAAGGUACUGAUCCAAAUCUAAAGUUCUCAUCUGUACACCUGGUUUUCUUUAUAAAUGCAAAUGGACAAAAUCUAUGUAGUGCUUUUCCAGACAUACUACCCACUUAAAGAACUUAACACUUCAGUCACAUAAACUCAUUCACAAUCACAUUCAUAUACCAAUAUGCAGAUCGGUAGGCUUUAGUCCUUCCAGUGAAGUGAUAAAUAAUUAACAGCUGAAUCAGAACUGAUGUUAUUUGGGAAGGUGAUAAGUCAAACUUGUAUUUACGUAUGGAUGGUUAGUUAACUUGUAUAAUGCAAAGUUACAUUCCAUGGAUAGUGUAUAACUUCCCUAUCCACAAUAAGUUGUGUCCACAACAAAUCCAUAGCUAAUAAUGUUUUUAUAGAUAGGUGGUGCACAUAGUCUGAAGCCAUCACAUAAAACACAUUGUUGAGAAAGACAUAAAGACACAGAUGGCGAGGUUUACCCCCAAAAGUAUUAAUAAUAACUUCAUUUGUAUGUGCCAACAUCUUGUUCCUGAUUAAUUUUUUUUUUUUUUUUUGUCAUAUUGAAAUGUUUGUAUUUCUUGUUAAAAAGUACUUCAGUAAUCUGAAAUUGAUUGUUAAAUUGAUUCUUAAGACGAUCACAGGAUGACAGGGAAAGACAGACUGAAAGUGAGAAUGGAGAGGAAUCUGUCCCUUCCACCAGUGGGGCAAGUCGCAGCUCUUCACGGCAACAAGUUGCAGAUAUAGUGGUGACACUGGAGACAGGUUCAGAUCAGGCUGGUCCUUCAACUGCUCUAAGCACACAGCAGCCUAAUCCUCCAGAUAUUCAGAGGGACCUCGGACAUGCUUGGAUUACAGAAGUAGUUCCAGCCAAAGCGUCUGAGCUGUACAUUGAGUCAGUACAUGAAGCAAACAAGGAUAAAGAGAGUCUUUCAUUUACCCUGAGUUUAAGAGAUACCCUGAAGGAAAGGAACCAUUCUGAGAUUCUACAAAAGGCCACGGGUGCAGUGGACUAGCCCACUGCGAUGUCAUCUCAUAGGUGAUGCUGCCAUUGGAGAGGGUGUUAAUAGACAUGUACUUUCAAUAGUCAUGUCAAACCUUCAGAAUGGAUUCUUGCUUGAUGACGAAACUGAACUGAAGACAUUGCUGUUUGAGGGUGAGCAGGACCAUCUCACUCCCUCUACAUCGAGGGUGCUCCUAGAAAGCGACUUUUUCGUGGUGGCGGGUCGAAUUAUCGGCCACAGCUUUCUGAAUGGUGGUCCUUGUCUGGUUGGUCUCAGCCAAGGAAUCAUCCAUGUGCUGUUUGGAGGGGAACCAGAAACAGCCACUGUAACUGAGUCAGAUUGUGCUGACCAAGAUGUCCGUGAGGUCAUAAGAAUGUUACAGGGAACAAAGGAUUUGUCAGAGGAGGAGAAAUCCGUGGUUCUCUCUUUGACGUUGCCAUGGGAUCUUCCUGGAGUUACAGUCAAUAACAGACAUUAGCUCCAAGAAAAAAUACUCCUCCAUGCUGUUUUGGAAAGAACAGCACAACAGGUGAAACAAAUCCGAAGAGGGCUGAAAGACACAGGUGUGUGGGAAUUUUUCAGUUCCAGGCCUGAUGCUGUGCCAGUACUUUUUCCAAGGCCCAGUGAGGCAGAGAUAACCCCACAGAUGGUAAUCGAUAACAUAAACUGGCCUAAAGAUGAAGAUAUAGAUGAAGACAUACUCUCGUUGGAUGAUCACUGUCUGAUCAUGAGCUUCCUCCGAAGAUUCAUAGAAAAUGGAACAUCAGACAUCCUCAAGAGUUUACUAACAUUCUGGACUGGCUGGGGUGUGGUAUGCUCCAAUCUCGAGGUCGAAGUUAUUGACUGCAGUCUCCCACAGUCGUCCACUUGCUUCCUGACUUUGAAGCUAUCCAAAAACCACAAAAACUAUGAAGACUUCCACCAAGACCUUAUGGCAAGCAUUUCUUCGGCCUAUUCUGGUUUUGGUCAGAUUUAAGCUGGGCCAUUUAAACAACGAAUGUUGUUGGUUAUUGGUAUUAUUACUUUUAAAUUGUUCUUAUGGUUCAGUCUCUUGAUAGACAUGGAUAUUCUGGAAUAAUCCACUUGUUAAUUAUGUAUUAGAAUUUGACAGUACUCAGCGUUGUUGUUGUUCUGAUCAACUAUAAAAACAGUUCCAUAUUAUUGUAGGACGUUUUCUGAAAACAUUUGCUUAAAAAAAGAGAUUAGACCAACAAAGUCAUGAAUAGACAUAGCUUAAUUACAAACGGUUAAAUCUGAUAUUAUCAACGAAUUCUUAAUGAAAGCUGAAAUGGUUUCAUAACAGUGAUUUUAUUACAUAUAUACAUAUCUGUGCAAAACAGGUCAAUGUUCACGUCUGGAUACAAGAUGCCUGACCUGAUAUAUUGUAUCUUCACAGCAAAUAUUGAAUAAAAAAAAACAAUUUGAACAGAAAAACUGUCAUUUCUAUUACAAAGAUCUAAAUGUCACAGUUGUUAUGCCAAAAGAGGCACAGACACAUGUUGAUGAGAAGCAACUACCCUCACCAAAAAGGAAUGUGUAUACAUUUCAAAAAAACAAACUUGCAACUACUCUCUAUCAAGCAAAUGUCUUUGGUAGCUGUAACCUAAAUAUUUCCAAAUAUUACAGUCAGUACAUCAAUUGUCUGUUGAUAAACAUUAAUCACAUUUGAAAACAAGCCAGUUGGA